rnacentral:tRNA from 2 species
GAAUCAAUAGUUUAUAAAAAUGUUAAGUUGCAAACUUAAAGAAGCCAGUGGCUUGAUUUU